rnacentral:rRNA from 1 species
UACAGAGGUCUCAAGCGUUGUUCGGAAUUAUUGGGCGUAAAGCGUCCGCAGGUGGCUGUUCAAGUCUGCUGUCAAAGCGCAGAGCUUAACUCUGUACAGGCGGUGGAAACUGAAGAGCUAGAGUAUGGUAGGGGUAGAGGGAAUUCCCGGUGUAGCGGUGAAAUGCGUAGAUAUCGGGAGGAACAUCAGUGGCGAAAGCGCUCUGCUGGACUGCAACUGACACUGAGGGACGAAAGCUAGGGGAGCGAAAGGG